GAGUUUGAUCAUGGCUCAUAUUGAACGCUGGCGGCAGGCUUAACACAUGCAAGUCGAACGGUAGCAGGAGAAAGCUUGCUUUCUUGCUGACGAGUGGCGGACGGGUGAGUAAUGCUUGGGAAUCUGGCUUAUGGAGGGGGAUAACUACGGGAAACUGUAGCUAAUACCGCGUAGUGUCGAGAGACGAAAGUGCGGGACCGUAAGGCCGCAUGCCAUGAGAUGAGCCCAAGUGGGAUUAGGUAGUUGGUGGGGUAAAGGCCUACCAAGCCUGCGAUCUCUAGCUGGUCUGAGAGGAUGGCCAGCCACACUGGAACUGAGACACGGUCCAGACUCCUACGGGAGGCAGCAGUGGGGAAUAUUGCGCAAUGGGGGGAACCCUGACGCAGCCAUGCCGCGUGAAUGAAGAAGGCCUUCGGGUUGUAAAGUUCUUUCGGUAUUGAGGAAGGGAUGUGUGCUAAUAGUACAUAUCAUUGACGUUAAAUACAGAAGAAGCACCGGCUAACUCCGUGCCAGCAGCCGCGGUAAUACGGAGGGUGCGAGCGUUAAUCGGAAUAACUGGGCGUAAAGGGCACGCAGGCGGUUAUUUAAGUGAGGUGUGAAAGCCCCGGGCUUAACCUGGGAAUUGCAUUUCAGACUGGGUAACUAGAGUACUUAGGGGAGGGGUAGAAUUCCACGUGUAGCGGUGAAAUGCGUAGAGAAUGUGGAGGAAUACCGAAGGCGAAGGCAGCCCCUUGGGAAUGUACUGACGCUCAUGUGGAAAAGCGUGGGGAGCAAACAGGAUUAGAUACCCUGGUAGUUCCACGCUGUAAACGCUGUCGAUUUGGGGAUUGAGCUUUAAGCUUGGUGCCCGUAGCUAACGUGAUAAAAUCGACCGCCUGGGGAGUACGGCCGCAAGGUUAAAACUCAAAAUGAAAUUGACGGGGGCCCGCACAAGCGGUGGAGCAUGUGGUUUAAUUCGAUGCAAACGCGAAGAACCUUACCUACUCUUGACAUCCAUGGAAUCCUGUAGAGAUACGGGAGUGCCUUUCGGGAACCAUGAGACAGGUGCUGCAUGGCUGUCGUCAGCUCGUGUUGUGAAAAUGUUGGGUUAAGUCCCGCAACGAGCGCAACCCUUAUCCUUUGUUGCCAGCGAUUUGGUCGGGAAACUCAAAGGAGACUGCCAGUGAUAAACUGGAGGAAGGUGGGGAUGACGUCGAAGUUCAUCGUGGCCCUUACGAGUAGGGCUACACACGUGCUACGAAUGGCGUAUACGGAGGGUGGCGAAAAUUGCGAGAUGGAGCGAAAUCUCAGAAAAGUACGUCUAAGUUCCGGAUUGGAGUCUGCGAACUCGACUCCGUGAAGUCGGAAAUCGCUAGUGAAUCGCGAAUUCGGAAAUGUCGCGGUGAAAUACGUUUCCCGGGCCUUGUGACACCCCGCCCGUCA
rnacentral:rRNA from 1 species